rnacentral:rRNA from 1 species
UGGGGAAUCUUGCGCAAUGGGCGGAAGCCUGACGCAGCAACGCCGCGUGGGGGAUGACGGCCUUCGGGUUGUAAACCUCUUUCGCGAUCGACGAAGGCUCACUUGUUGUGGGUUGACGGUAGGUCGAGAAGAAGCACCGGCCAACUACGUGCCAGCAGCCGCGGUAAUACGUAGGGUGCGAGCGUUGUCCGGAAUUAUUGGGCGUAAAGAGCUCGUAGGCGGUGUGUCGCGUCGGCCGUGAAAACCUGGGGCUCAACUCUGGGCGUGCGGUCGAUACGGGCAUCACUUGAGUUCGGCAGGGGAGACUGGAAUUCCUGGUGUAGCGGUGAAAUGCGCAGAUAUCAGGAGGAACACCGGUGGCGAAGGCGGGUCUCUGGGCCGAUACUGACGCUGAGGAGCGAAAGCAUGGGUAGCGAACA